AUGUCGUAUUUUGUACGAGCAACAUUGGAUGACUCAACUCAGGUGAAAAGCAUUGCCGCGCUUGUACAAGCAUGUGGAUGGAGAGAAGUGGUGGCAGUAUACGAAGACACUGACUAUGGGAGAGGCAUCCUACCAUACCUCAUUGAUGCACUUCAAGAAAUCGAUGUCUGUGUUCCGUAUCGCAGCGUCAUCCCUUUGUCGGCAACAAACGAAACCAUUAUGCAAGAACUCGGUGUGUUGAUAGCAAUGCAAACAAGGGUAUUUAUUGUUCAUAUGUCAUCCACUAUGGCUUCCCUUAUUUUUACGAAAGCAAAAGAGGUAGGGAUGAUGAACAAAGGAUUUGCGUGGAUCACUACAAAUGGAGUGGCAAACAUCAUUGACUCACUCAAUCCAAGUGUCAUUGAGGCAAUGGAUGGUGUCCUAGGAGUAAGGUGUCAUGUUCCCAGAUCACAAGAACUUGAUAAUUUAUCCAUAAGGUGGAACAUAAUGUACCAACAGGAUAACCCAUAUGAAUCACCCUUUAAUAAACUAAGCAUUGUUGGACUAUGGGGCUAUGAUACGAUAUGGGCAAUUGCACAUGCAGCUGAAAAGGUUGGGAUAUCCAGUGCUAGAGAUAAGCAACCAUGGCCCACUAAAAACUCCACAUGCUUGGAAUCCAUGGUUAUUUCCACUAACGGUCCUGAGCUCUUAUCAGCGAUCGUACAAAAUAAGUUCAGAGGUUUAAGUGGUGAAUUUGACCUUACAGACAGACAACAGCUUAAAGUUUCCGUGUUCCAAAUAAUAAAUGUGGUGGAGAGAGGUUGGAGAGAAAUCGGGUUUUGGACUGUGAAUGAACUUUUACGGAAGUUAAAGCAAGAUUACUCUAAAAAAACAGGACAAGCAUCAAUGCUUGAUCUAAACCCUGUAAUUUGGCCUGGAGAGUCGACCGAAAUACCAAUGGGCUGGGAAAUUCCUAGAGUUGAAUUUGAUACUGCUGAUGCACCAAUUUCCGGAAGCUACAAUGAUUUUGUUUAUCAGGUCUACCUUCAGAAAUAUGACAUAGCGGUUGCAGAUAUUACUAUAAGAUCCAAUAGAUCAUUGUAUGUCGACUUCACUGCACCAUACACAGAAUCUGGAGUAGGGAUGAUUGUUCCAGUCAAGGAAAACGUGAAUACAGACAUGUGGCUUUUCUUGAAACCAUUGAGCACUGAGAUGUGGUUUGGCAGCAUCAAUGCCACGAAGGAAAUUAGGAGGGUCCUCUUGCAUCAUAAUCAACAAGAGGAGGAGCUGAAACGCUUUCUAGCUAGAAUCGUUCUACGUGUAUGGAGGGUUGUUCUUCUAGUACUUGCAGCAAGUUAUACAGCAAGCUUUGCAUCAAUGCUUACAGUACAGCAGCUUUCACCAACAGUGACUGAUGUUCAUGAACUCCAGAAGAAUGGGCAAUAUGUAGGGUUCCACCAAGGUUCCUAUGUAGAGGGUCUACUGCUGGAUAUUGGUUUUCAUACAUCAAAAAUCAGGCCUUAUGCUACACCUGACGAUUUCUAUAGUGCUCUUUCUAAUGGAAGCAUUGCUGCGCUUGUACAUGAAGUCCCAUACAUCAAACUUUUUCUCGCAAAAUACAGCAAAGGUUACACAAUGGUAGCGCCUAUUUACAAGAGUGUAGGCUUUGCAUUUACUUUUGACAACCUUUCUACAACAACUUUAAAAGCGCUUCCCAGGAAUUCUCCGCUAGCUCCUGAAAUGUCGAGGGCAAUAAUCAACAUAACAGAAGGAGAUACUAUCAUUCAAUUUGAAAAGAAAUGGAUGGGUCAAAAUAGCCAUGAAAAUGAUGGCACACUUGAUGGUUCAGACGCCAUAACUUUUGAAAGUUUUGGGGGAUUAUUCGCUCUAACUGUAAUUGUAACAACCUAUUGCCUUUUGGUAGCCAUGGUGAUGAGCUGCUACAAAAGAUAUCGACAAAAUGCAAGGACCAUAGGAGAGGUGGCCAAGAUGAAUGUGGGCAUGGGCAAAAAGAAGAGGAAACGGGAGAACAGAGGAUAUGACCAAAGUGAAUAUGGACAUGGGCAAAGGAAAAAGAGGAAAUGGAAGAGCAAAGAGAUCACAAGAGCAAUGAAAACGGAGACUGAAUUGAUAGGGAGCCAAACAACACUGUCAGUGCUUCACAAUCGGAACAGAAAUGGUCACCAGCUACCCAUAUCAGUGCAUCACUGA
rnacentral:rRNA from 1 species